CAACUGCUUGUUAAUGCAAAUAUCAGAUCAGUCAAGGGAGUCAAAGGCAGACAAGGGAGAAACUGUAAAUUCAGUCAUAUAGACACGGUCAAGACGACCUGCUGGAGAUGAAACAGGCCAUAAGAAUGGGGAAGAAAAAUGAAUGAAGACACUUUGAAUGUGGCAUGGUGGUAUUUCAGAAACUGCUGAUCUACUGGGGUUUUCACACACAACCAUUUCGAAGGUUUAAAGAGAAAGAUCCAAAAAAUAUCCAGUGAGCAGAAGUUCUCUGGGUGAAAAUGCCUUUUUGAUGCCAGAUGUCAGAAGAAAGUGGCCAGACUACUUUGAAUUGAUACGAAGACCACACUGAGUGCCACUCCUGUCAGCGAAGAAUAAGACACUCCAAAAUCUGCAUGGGCUCUCCAAAACUGGACAGGAGUGAACUGGACAAAUGUGUACCCAUCUUCUGACGGCUGCCUCCUGCAGGAUAAAAUAUCAUGUCACAAAGCUCAAAUGAUCUCAUUCUUGAACAUGACAGUGAGUUCAGCGUACUCAAAUAGCCUCCAAAGUCACCAGAUCUCAAUGCAUAUUGCGGUAGAACAGGAAAAAGGGCUUCCAACCAAGCUGGGAGGAUUUAAAAAAAACUGUUGAGUGUCUCACUUCACGGCUCUUCCUGUUUGAGUUUCCUCACUCUGCUCCGCACAGAGCAGACGUCCCUGCAGGAUAAUACUCGGAUGAGCAUUAUCUGCAGAAAGCAGCCUCAACUUAAUCCAAACUGCACCGAGGGCAGGAAACUAUUGACGACCUCCGAGUAGAAGGUGAGACGAGAAAAAAGCUAAUUAUAGCUCACAAAAUCUCAAGAAUUCCACGCGUUCAUGAACACAAAUCUCUUUUUAGCUUUAAUAUAAACCCCAGCUAUUUCUGUGUCAAUAUUGAACAUGCAGAGAUUACAUAUUUAAUCUCUGGCAUGGAUACUAUUUUAUGGUCAAGGAAUGCUUUUGCUGAAUUACAGCAUGUUUGACAUUUCGAGAUUCCUCACAUUCUUCAGCGGUGGUAAACUCCCAGCACGCUUCUGUAAGCCUACCGGUGCGAUCCAGAUGCAAAAAUAACCGGGGAAGAAGAUGACAUAAAAUAUUUUGCAGAUGGUCCAGAAAUUCAGACCUGAGACUCUUGUAAUCUGUGAACACUUCACAUAUUUGUUGCGGUCAUUGCCUUGGUAAAAAAAGUCACAUGUGAGAAUUGAAGCUAGGAGUAGUUAAUGAUCUCACUUUAAUUCAGGUUUAAAGAUGAUUUUAAAAAAAAUACUUUGACUCUAAUAAACCAGAAACCUGAUAAAACGGAGGCCUGUAAAUAUUGAAGUUUCAUAAAACUAACAAAGAUAUCUGAAUUGCCCAUCUGACAUUUCCACCGCUGUUUAUUGUUGAUGAUAUUUUCACCUGAAACACUGAUAUCAUCCAGUUGUUUUUCCUUCAGGAAGUUCCUGCAACUGCUCAUUAAUUGUUGCUGAGGGGCCAAAGUUUGAGAAAAACAAGCUGCACCACCAGCUCCGAGUUCAAGUUAACUUAAGAGGGAAAAUAGGGGCUGAGGGUAGAUUUUAUUGUUGCAUUAAUGUCCCUUUCUUGCACCGAAUGUUUGUGCGCUACCGUGUUUUUCUGCAUUUCGCCUUGCCGUGUUGUUUUGUAAUAUUGUCAUGGGAGUUGAACUGACGUCAGAUUUCUUCCUCUCAUUCAGGUGGCGGGUGGACUCUAGCACUAGAUCUUCAUUUUCCUAAUCAGCUCUUCUGCUCUCUCCUCCAGGACGGGUCGUCCUUCCCUCGACCUCCGUGCUCGUCCAUUUCCUUCCAACUCUUUUAAGAUUUCUUGUCCUUUUCACUGACUCAUGAUGUUUCCUUAUGCAGAUCCCUUUUAGCCAAGCAGAUUUUAAGUAAGGAAGUAUUGGUUGUACUUAUCCUGUUAGGGCCACCUUUGGUACUAUGUUGUAGCUUUUUGCUGCAAAAAAUUCCUAAUAUACAUUACAGGUUUCAGAGCCAGGACAUUUUCAAGGAGCAGGUAAGAAUAUAUUUGCUUUACAGUUUAGUGGAGUCUAGGAGCAUUUCAUAAAUAAACUGGGAGUCCAUCCAGCAUGUUUCACGUGUCUCACUCCUCUCACAGCUGGAAGAGGCUCCAGUCUGUUCUGCAACCAUGAACUUUACAGGCAGCAGAAAAUAAAUAAAUACCUUUAUAUUAUUUUUGCAACAAUAUUUUGCAAAAGUUGACUAUUUUCACGUAUAAAUAAAUGUCUUCAAUGUCUUCAAAGUCAGUAGUUACCUGUCAAAUGAAGAUGAUUAACACUUGAGAAUCUGUCAAAGUCUUAUAAUAAGUUUUGACAGUGAUCCAAUAGUCUAACAACUACAGUGACCAGGUAGUAAGAUUAAUGAGGAACCACGGCUGCAACCACACAUUUUCAUCCCUCUUCCCUCCAAACCAGGCUCACGUGACGCCUCGUGGCCUAUUACAUGUUUAUUAUGUGAAAGCGCUGCAGCACGAGAGUUUAAACAUAAUUUUUGGUUGGAUAAUUGUUUUGAAACACUGAAAAGAAGUACUAAGUAGUAACAUGUGUACAGAUGAACCUUAUGCAUAAGUCUAAUCUAACUUUACAUCACUUCCACUUUCCCACGCUGUCAAGCUGAUUGUGACAUCACUGGUAUGGUCCAAUCAUCUUUCUUCUUCAAAGCAAUCAGCCUUCACUCCCCGUACAUUAAAUCUCACUACACAUCUGUCAUUCUCUCUGCAGACGCCUUCAUGCAACCCACCUCCUCCCCAUCUCUGCCUCUCCCUCAUCACUCAGUCUCCAUUUAAGCCUCCAUCUUCAUCUCCACCACCAUUGUCUAGACUCUGGGGGUCCUGCCCUGAUCCCUGUCACCACUGGGAUCACGUUCUGCUGUGAUGGGCCAUCGGCGUCUGACCGCCAAAUGCUUCAAAUUCAAUUGUGUGCAUCAAUAAAUCAUUUUCAGUUGCUU